UAGGUUAACGAGGCGAACCGGGGGAACUGAAACAUCUAAGUACCCCGAGGAAAAGAAAUCAACCGAGAUUCCCCCAGUAGCGGCGAGCGAACGGGGAGCAGCCCAGAGUCUGAAUCAGCUUGUGUGUUAGUGGAACGGUCUGGAAAGUCCGACGGUACAGGGUGAUAGUCCCGUACACCAAAAUGCACAGGUUGUGAACUCGAAGAGUAGGGCGGGACACGUGGUAUCCUGUCUGAAUAUGGGGGGACCAUCCUCCAAGGCUAAAUACUCCUGACUGACCGAUAGUGAACCAGUACCGUGAGGGAAAGGCGAAAAGAACCCCGGCGAGGGGAGUGAAAAAGAACCUGAAACCGUGUACGUACAAGCAGUGGGAGCACCUUCGGGUGUGACUGCGUACCUUUUGUAUAAUGGGUCAGCGACUUAUAUUCUGUAGCAAGGUUAACCGUAUAGGGGAGCCGCAGGGAAACCGAGUCUUAACUGGGCGUUAAGUUGCAGGGUAUAGACCCGAAACCCGGUGAUCUAGCCAUGGGCAGGUUGAAGGUUGGGUAACACUAACUGGAGGACCGAACCGACUAAUGUUGAAAAAUUAGCGGAUGACUUGUGGCUGGGGGUGAAAGGCCAAUCAAACCGGGAGAUAGCUGGUUCUCCCCGAAAGCUAUUUAGGUAGCGCCUCGUGAACUCAUCUUCGGGGGUAGAGCACUGUUUCGGCUAGGGGGUCAUCCCGACUUACCAACCCGAUGCAAACUACGAAUACCGAAGAAUGUUAUCACGGGAGACACACGGCGGGUGCUAACGUCCGUCGUGAAGAGGGAAACAACCCAGACCGCCAGCUAAGGUCCCAAAGUCAUGGUUAAGUGGGAAACGAUGUGGGAAGGCACAGACAGCCAGGAUGUUGGCUUAGAAGCAGCCAUCAUUUAAAGAAAGCGUAAUAGCUCACUGGUCGAGUCGGCCUGCGCGGAAGAUGUAACGGGGCUAAACCAUG
rnacentral:rRNA from 1 species